GUAGGUGGCAAGCGUUGUCCGGAAUUAUUGGGCGUAAAGCGCGCGCAGGCGGUUCUUUAAGUCUGAUGUGAAAGCCCACGGCUCAACCGUGGAGGGUCAUUGGAAACUGGGGAACUUGAGUACAGAAGAGGAAAGCGGAAUUCCACGUGUAGCGGUGAAAUGCGUAGAGAUGUGGAGGAACACCAGCGGCGAAGGCGGCUUUCUGGUCUGUAACUGACGCUGAGGCGCGAAAGCGUGGGGAGCAAACAGGGAUUAGAUACCCUGGUAGUCCACGCCGUAAACGAUGAGUGCUAAGUGUUAGGGGGGUUUCCGCCCCCUUAGUGCUGCAGCUAACGCAUUAAGCACUCCGCCUGGGGAUACGGCCGCAAGGCUG
rnacentral:rRNA from 1 species